rnacentral:tRNA from 1 species
AGUUAAUUAGUUUAAAAAUAAAACUUAUAUUUUGAAAAUAUAAAAUAGAGAAAUUUAUUAACUU